AGCGAACGCUGGCGGCAGGCUUAACACAUGCAAGUCGAGCGGGCACUUUCGGGUGUCAGCGGCGGACGGGUGAGUAACGCGUGGGAACGUGCCCUCUGGUUCGGAAUAACUCAGGGAAACUUGAGCUAAUACCGGAUACGCCCUUUUGGGGAAAGGCUUGCUGCCGGAGGAUCGGCCCGCGUCUGAUUAGCUAGUUGGUGAGGUAACGGCUCACCAAGGCGACGAUCAGUAGCUGGUCUGAGAGGAUGAUCAGCCACACUGGGACUGAGACACGGCCCAGACUCCUACGGGAGGCAGCAAUGGGGAAUAUUGGACAAUGGGCGCAAGCCUGAUCCAGCCAUGCCGCGUGAGUGAUGAAGGCCUUAGGGUUGUAAAGCUCUUUUAUCCGGGACGAUAAUGACGGUACCGGAGGAAUAAGCCCCGGCUAACUUCGUG
rnacentral:rRNA from 1 species